rnacentral:rRNA from 1 species
UACAGGGGGUGCAAACGUUGCUCGGAAUUAUUGGGCGUAAAGCGCGCGUAGGCGGUGACUCAAGUCGGAUGCGAAAGCCCUUGGCUUAACCGAGGAAGUGCAUCCGAAACUGAGUCGCUAGAGUACGAUAGAGGGUCGCGGAAUUCCCGGUGUAGAGGUGAAAUUCGUAGAUAUCGGGAGGAACACCGGUGGCGAAGGCGGCGACCUGGGUCGAUACUGACGCUGAGGCGCGAAAGCGUGGGGAGCAAACAGG